UACGUAGGUGGCAAGCGUUGUCCGGAUUUACUGGGCGUAAAGGGUGCGCAGGCGGACCUUUAAGUAGAAAGUGAAAGGUUGGAGCUCAACUCCAACAUUGCUUUCUAUACUGGAGGUCUUGAGUGCUGGAGAGGAAAGCGGAACGACACGUGUAGCGGUGAAAUGCGUUGAUAUGUGUCGGAACACCAAUGGCGAAGGCAGCUUUCUGGACAGUUACUGACGCUCAGGCACGAAAGCCAAGGGAGAGAACAGG
rnacentral:misc_RNA from 1 species